GCGGCCGUGGCGGAAUGGCAGACGCGCUCCGGCUUAGAACCGGGUGAGCUUCGCUCGUGUGGGUUCGAAUCCCACCGGCCGCA
rnacentral:tRNA from 2 species